GACGAACGCUGGCGGCGUGCUUAACACAUGCAAGUCGAACGGAAAGGCCCUGCUUUUGUGGGGUGCUCGAGUGGCGAACGGGUGAGUAACACGUGAGUAACCUGCCCUUGACUUUGGGAUAACUUCAGGAAACUGGGGCUAAUACCGGAUAGGAGCUCCUGCUGCAUGGUGGGGGUUGGAAAGUUUCGGCGGUUGGGGAUGGACUCGCGGCUUAUCAGCUUGUUGGUGGGGUAGUGGCUUACCAAGGCUUUGACGGGUAGCCGGCCUGAGAGGGUGACCGGCCACAUUGGGACUGAGAUACGGCCCAGACGCCUACGGGAGGCAGCAGGGGGGAAUAUUGCACAAUGGGCGGAAGCCUGAUGCAGCAACGCCGCGUGCGGGAUGACGGCCUUCGGGGUGUAAACCGCUUUCGCCUGUGACGAAGCGUGAGUGACGGUAAUGGGUAAAGAAGCACCGGCUAACUACGUG
rnacentral:rRNA from 1 species